GCCUCCCUCCGCGCCAUCAGACUCCUACGGGAGGACAGCAGUGGGGAAGUUUUGUCGCAAUGGGGGAAACCCGUGACGCAGCAACGCCGCGUGGAGGAUGAGAUCCUUUGGGUAGUGUAAACUACCUUUCGUAUCCGGGACGAUUAUGACGGUACCGGAAGAAGUAGCCCCGGCUAACUUCGUGCCAGCAGCCGCGGUAAUAC
rnacentral:rRNA from 1 species